rnacentral:lncRNA from 1 species
CUUGGUAUUUGCUAUGCAUUACAUUAAAUUGUGCACAUGAAUCUAAAUUCAUGAAAUGAUCCUGCCCUUACUUUUUAUAGAAGGCAUCUUCAAGCAAAGGGCUGGAGAAAUUCCGAUUUGCUCGACUAAAUCCACUGCGGACUCUGGGCCAGUUUUUGUAAUCUCUUUGACAUCUCUCCACUUGCCCAGCCCAUGAAUACUUCUGGCUGUCCUAUGGGGGACAUUUUAAUUUAAUAGCAACCUUAGGUGCACAAAUGAAGCACCUUCAUG